GCUGUUUCUGCACAGUGUCUUCUAUGUGAUGUCCCGGCAAAGAGUCAGACACCAGGAUAACUCACUGCCUGUGAGUUGGGAAAAAAAGGUUGAUCCAAAGCUGGUCAUGGAGCAGGCCGACCGUGAGAGCAGCAGAGGGAAGAACACCUUUCUCUACCAGCUCCACAAACUGGUUGUGCUCGGCACCUGAGCAUGUCCACAGGUGGCCUCCAGCACACCCCUCAGGAAGCUGUGGAGGCUGGAUUCCAGGCUCCCUCCGCAGACUGACUUUCCUCUGUGUCUGGGUGUUACAGUCUGUGCCCACUGCAUCCUAAAGGCCUUUUCUUUCUUCUUUUCUCUUUGGGUGAUAGUCAGAGAGUGGUGUUUUUGUUCAGGUGGGAAGGAUUGGAAACUCUAGUCUUUUCUAGAAACAGAAAAUCACUGUAUUAAAUAUUUUGGAAAGAUUGUUCUGAAAGAAGUCUGUUUGGAUAAAGAGCUGUAUUUUGCUUUAAAUUUAUUAAGGUAAAUAUAAGUAGUUAAUCUUAGAUGUAAGGUUCCAGAAUGUGCUUACAUAUUCUGUUCUGUUACAGUGAUUUAAACCAGUAGUAUAGGAAAAAACUUAAAAAAACAAAAAAACCAUGUAGUAUUUUCUGAUUUUUUUUUCCAUGAGGGAAAAUAUCUAAUUUUUAUAAGACUAAGUUGAGUUAUACUUCUUGGUUCACAUUUUGGAAAUCAGAGAUUACAGAUUACAUGGCCAUAGCUUAUCUGUGUUAAAACAAU
rnacentral:lncRNA from 1 species